AUGAUUUCUGAGAUGUGGCAUUAUUUCAGUUAUACAUUUUCAAGUAAUUUUUCCAGCACGAUGUACAGAUACAAUUUCAAUCAUUCGCAACAUGAUUCAUAACAGUGAGGUUAGGGGAUCAAUUCAUUAUUGCAUUUUAUGCGAUUAAACUUACUUUUAAAGUGUCUCUGCAUAAAUGUGUGAAAUGGAUGAGAGAGAAAC